AUUGAACGCUGGCGGCAUGCCUUACACAUGCAAGUCGAACGGUAACAGGUUAAGCUGACGAGUGGCGAACGGGUGAGUAAUGUAUCGGAACGUGCCCAGUUGUGGGGGAUAACUGCUCGAAAGAGCAGCUAAUACCGCAUACGACCUGAGGGUGAAAGCGGGGGAUCGCAAGACCUCGCGCAAUUGGAGCGGCCGAUAUCAGAUUAGGUAGUUGGUGGGGUAAAGGCUCACCAAGCCGACGAUCUGUAGCUGGUCUGAGAGGACGACCAGCCACACUGGGACUGAGACACGGCCCAGACUCCUACGGGAGGCAGCAGUGGGGAAUUUUGGACAAUGGGCGCAAGCCUGAUCCAGCCAUGCCGCGUGCGGGAAAAAGGCCUUCGGGUUGUAAACCGCUUUUGUCAGGGAAGAAACGCUCUGGGUUAGUACCCUGGGGUAAUGACGGUACCUGAAGAAUAAGCACCGGCUAACUACGUGCCAGCAGCCGCCGCGG
rnacentral:rRNA from 1 species